rnacentral:rRNA from 1 species
UGAGUGAAGAAGGCCUUCGGGUUGUAAAGCUCUUUCGUCCGGAACGAAAUCGCAGCGUCUAAUAAACGCUGCGGAUGACGGUACCGGAAGAAGAAGCACCGGCUAACUACGUGCCAGCAGCCGCGGUAAUACGUAGGGUGCGAGCGUUAAUCGGAAUUACUGGGCGUAAAGCGUGCGCAGGCGGUUUGUUAAGCCAGAUGUGAAAGCCCCGGGCUCAACCUGGGAACUGCGUUUGGUACUGGCAAGCUAGAGUACGGCAGAGGGGGGUGGAAUUCCACGUGUAGCAGUGAAAUGCGUAGAGAUGUGGAGGAACACCGAUGGCGAAGGCAGCCCCCUGGGUCGAUACUGACGCUCAGGCACGAAAGCGUGGGGAGCAAACAGGAUUAGAUACCCUGGUAGUCCACGCCCUAAACGA